UGGGGGAUAUUGCACAAGUGGGGGGAAACCCUGAUGCAGCGACGCCGCGUGGAGGAAGAAGGUUUUCGGAUUGUAAACUCCUGUCGUUAGGGACGAUAAUGACGGUACCUAACAAGAAAGCACCGGCUAACUACGUGCCAGCAGCCGCGGUAAAACGUAGGGUGCAAGCGUUGUCCGGAAUUACUGGGUGUAAAGGGAGCGCAGGCGGACCGGCAAGUUGGAAGUGAAAACUAUGGGCUCAACCCAUAAAUUGCUUUCAAAACUGACUGGCCUUGAGUAGUGCAGAGGUAGUGGAAUUCCCGGUGUAGCGGUGGAAUGCGUAGAUAUCGGGAGGAACACCAGUGGCGAAGGC
rnacentral:rRNA from 1 species